rnacentral:rRNA from 1 species
GAAAGGCGCUUUUGCGUCACUGAUGGAUGGACCCGCGGUGCAUUAGCUAGUUGGUGAGGUAACGGCUCACCAAGGCAACGAUGCAUAGCCGACCUGAGAGGGUGAUCGGCCACAUUGGGACUGAGACACGGCCCAAACUCCUACGGGAGGCAGCAGUAGGGAAUCUUCGGCAAUGGACGCAAGUCUGACCGAGCAACGCCGCGUGAGUGAAGAAGGUUUUCGGAUCGUAAAACUCUGUUGUUAGAGAAGAACAAGGAUGAGAGUAGAAUGUUCAUCCCUUGACGGUAUCUAACCAGAAAGCCACGGCUAACUACGUGCCAGCAGCCGCGGUAAUACGUAGGUGGCAAGCGUUGUCCGGAUUUAUUGGGCGUAAAGCGAGCGCAGGCGGUUUCUUAAGUCUGAUGUGAAAGCCCCCGGCUCAACCGGGGAGGGUCAUUGGAAACUGGGAAA